rnacentral:lncRNA from 1 species
GGAGCGGGAGGAGCGAGGGACGAUCCAGUGCUCGGCCGGGUUUGCCAUCUUGGCUGCCCGGCGUCAGUUUGGAGUUUGUGCUGCGCCCGCGAUCCGGAGUUGCUGGGGGGUGUGAGGGUCUCUACUUGACAGCCGGAGAAGAAAAACCGCCCGGAGGCAGGCAGCGAUCCAGCCCAGGUCCCUACCGCGCGGGACUAAAGGGAUGCGACCUGGAGGACGAGAGGACGCGCCAUGGCGAUCGGCCGGGAGCGUGGACCCAGGGGCGCGCCGAGGGUGCCCGGGCUGGCCUGGACCCGAGCGGCCAGCGAGAGUCUGAAGAAAACUCGACUUUCUGACUAGAAAUUGCCCACAAAUUCAAACACAGUUGUGUGUACGAUUUCUGGAGGUUUGUGGCUACUCUGAGGUUCAUCCACAAUUCUCAGGGUACCUAUGCUGACCCCACAGCUUACCUGUUGUGAAUUGGGUUUCAACAUGGGCUUGCAGGCAGACAGAAGAAGCUCCAGAGAAGACAGAAACAGAGAAAUCAUUUGAAAAAGGAAGAUCUG